AGAGUUUGAUCAUGGCUCAGAACAAACGCUGGCGGCGUGCCUAACACAUGCAAGUCGUACGAGAAAUCCUGAGCAAUCGGGAGAGUAAAGUGGCGCACGGGUGAGUAACGCGUGGGUAACCUGCCCUUGGAUUGGGGAUAACUCUUCGAAAGGAGAGUUAAUACCGAAUAACAUCCUGGUUUCCUCGGAGACCGGGGUCAAAGGUGGCCUCUGCAUGCAAGCUACUGUCUAAGGAUGGGCCCGCGUACCAUUAGCUAGUUGGUGAGGUAACGGCCCACCAAGGCUGCGAUGGUUAGCUGGUCUGAGAGGAUGGCCAGCCACACUGGAACUGAGACACGGUCCAGACUCCUACGGGAGGCAGCAGUGGGGAAUCUUGCGCAAUGGGGGAAACCCUGACGCAGCAACGCCGCGUGGGUGAUGAAGGCCUUCGGGUCGUAAAGCCCUGUCAGGUGGAAAGAAACCUAUCGGUGUGAACAAUGCCGAUACUUGACGGUACCACCGAAGGAAGCACCGGCUAACUCCGUGCCAGCAGCCGCGGUAAUACGGAGGGUGCAAGCGUUGUUCGGAAUUACUGGGCGUAAAGCGCGUGUAGGCGGUUGAGCAAGUCAGAUGUGAAAUCCUUCCGCUUAACGGGAGAAGUGCAUUUGAUACUACUCGGCUGGAGUUCGGGAGAGGAGAGUGGAAUUCCCGGUGUAGAGGUGAAAUUCGUAGAUAUCGGGAGGAACACCGGUGGCGAAGGCGGCUCUCUGGCCCGGUACUGACGCUGAGACGCGAAAGCGUGGGUAGCAAACAGGAUUAGAUACCCUGGUAGUCCACGCCGUAAACGAUGAGCACUAGGUGUAGGAGGUAUUGACCCCUUCUGUGCCGCAGCUAACGCAUUAAGUGCUCCGCCUGGGGAGUACGGCCGCAAGGCUAAAACUCAAAGGAAUUGACGGGGGCCCGCACAAGCGGUGGAGCAUGUGGUUCAAUUUCGACGCAACGCGAGAACCUUACCUGGGUUUGACAUCG
rnacentral:rRNA from 1 species